rnacentral:rRNA from 1 species
GAUGAACGCUGGCGGCGUGCCUAAUACAUGCAAGUCGAGCGAACAGACGAGGAGCUUGCUCCUCUGACGUUAGCGGCGGACGGGUGAGUAACACGUGGAUAACCUACCUAUAAGACUGGGAUAACUUCGGGAAACCGGAGCUAAUACCGGAUAAUAUAUUGAACCGCAUGGUUCAAUAGUGAAAGACGGUUUUGCUGUCACUUAUAGAUGGAUCCGCGCCGCAUUAGCUAGUUGGUAAGGUAACGGCUUACCAAGGCGACGAUGCGUAGCCGACCUGAGAGGGGGAUCGGCCACCCUGGAACUGAGACACGGUCCAGACUCCUACGGGAGGCAGCAGUAGGGAAUCUUCCGCAAUGGGCGAAAGCUUGACGGAGCAACGCCGCGUGAGUGAUGAAGGUCUUCGGAUCGUAAAACUCUGUUAUUAGGGAAGAACAAAUGUGUAAGUAACUAUGCACGUCUUGACGGUACCUAAUCAGAAAGCCACGGCUAACUACGUG